GAUGAACGCUGGCGGCGUGCCUAAUACAUGCAAGUCGAGCGAACGGACGAGAAGCUUGCUUCUCUGAUGUUAGCGGCGGAUGGGUGAGUAACACGUGGAUAACCUACCUAUAAGACUGGGAUAACUUCGGGAAACCGGAGCUAAUACCGGAUAAUAUUUUGAACCGCAUGGUUCAAAAGUGAAAGACGGUCUUGCUGUCACUUAUAGAUGGAUCCGCGCUGCAUUAGCUAGUUGGUAAGGUAACGGCUUACCAAGGCAACGAUGCAUAGCCGACCUGAGAGGGUGAUCGGCCACACUGGAACUGAGACACGGUCCAGACUCCUACGGGAGGCAGCAGUAGGGAAUCUUCCGCAAUGGGCGAAAGCCUGACGGAGCAACGCCGCGUGAGUGAUGAAGGUCUUCGGAUCGUAAAACUCUGUUAUUAGGGAAGAACAUAUGUGUAAGUAACUGUGCACAUCUUGACGGUACCUAAUCAGAAAGCCACGGCUAACUACGUGCCAGCAGCCGCGGUAAUACGUAGGUGGCAAGCGUUAUCCGGAAUUAUUGGGCGUAAAGCGCGCGUAGGCGGUUUUUUAAGUCUGAUGUGAAAGCCCACGGCUCAACCGUGGAGGGUCAUUGGAAACUGGAAAACUUGAGUGCAGAAGAGGAAAGUGGAAUUCCAUGUGUAGCGGUGAAAUGCUCAGAGAUAUGGAGGAACACCAGUGGCGAAGGCGACUUUCUGGUCUGUAACUGACGCUGAUGUGCGAAAGCGUGGGGAUCAAACAGGAUUAGAUACCCUGGUAGUCCACGCCGUAAACGAUGAGUGCUAAGUGUUAGGGGGUUUCCGCCCCUUAGUGCUGCAGCUAACGCAUUAAGCACUCCGCCUGGGGAGUACGACCGCAAGGUUGAAACUCAAAGGAAUUGACGGGGACCCGCACAAGCGGUGGAGCAUGUGGUUUAAUUCGAAGCAACGCGAAGAACCUUACCAAAUCUUGACAUCCUUUGACAACUCUAGAGAUAGAGCCUUCCCCUUCGGGGGACAAAGUGACAGGUGGUGCAUGGUUGUCGUCAGCUCGUGUCGUGAGAUGUUGGGUUAAGUCCCGCAACGAGCGCAACCCUUAAGCUUAGUUGCCAUCAUUAAGUUGGGCACUCUAAGUUGACUGCCGGUGACAAACCGGAGGAAGGUGGGGAUGACGUCAAAUCAUCAUGCCCCUUAUGAUUUGGGCUACACACGUGCUACAAUGGACAAUACAAAGGGCAGCGAAACCGCGAGGUCAAGCAAAUCCCAUAAAGUUGUUCUCAGUUCGGAUUGUAGUCUGCAACUCGACUACAUGAAGCUGGAAUCGCUAGUAAUCGUAGAUCAGCAUGCUACGGUGAAUACGUUCCCGGGUCU
rnacentral:rRNA from 1 species